CCGACCAAUAAGACUAUACUGGACUGCCCACUUCCAGUCAGUUGUAGCUUUUUGUGGUAGAGGAGGGGUCCCUCUUUCUCUCUGUGUCUCCCUGUCUAAUGGCUGCUAGCUAGCCUAGCUGUGGUUAGCUGCCUCCAGUCUCCAUUACUACAGUUUUUUACUCACUGCCUGGCCUAACUCCUGACUGGUCUAUGGCUGCCAUUUUGUCCUGUAACUUAUGACGCCCACGCAUCAUUUGAUGGCUACCACAAGUGGAGACAGAAUACUGAAGACUGGAUGUCAUUACAAGAGAGACUGUUAUAACCUGCCCUGCUAACUGUGAUGAUUAAUCAAGAUCACUGGAUUACUUGGACAGUCAUACUGGUCUACUUGGACUAUCAUGUUGCAGUUUACUGGGAUGGACACACGAAUUGGCACAUGGAAGGAUGUCUCAUGGAUAAUGCAGUGAGUUACCUAUUCUACUACUAGCUGGGCUGGCCGACCAGACCCAGCUAGUAACGCACUCAUACAAUCCUUGCAUGUCAUUAUAUGUAUGCCCCCAUUUGCAUGCGUAUAAUACCAUUAGGGAGGGGCUUGUUACACGAAACA